rnacentral:rRNA from 1 species
GGCUGCAAUCGUCUAAUCAUCAAUUCUGAUAAUAUGGAGGUCAUCGACACAAUGAAGAACGGAGGACAGUCUGCGGGACCGACUGCUGCAAUUUUUGAGGAUUGUUUUUCUAUGGCCUGUGAUUUUCCUCAAACUAGUUUUAAACAUUGUAACAGAGAAGCGAAUAAAUUAGCUCAUGAGCUUGCUAGAUUAGUAAAAUUCAUGACUAGAGAUUGGAUAAAGGAGCCCAUGGAAGAUCUUGUAACUCUCUUGAUAGACGAUGUAACAAUUAUUUCUAAUUAA